rnacentral:ncRNA from 1 species
AUAACAUUCGGAUAUAGUUUUCAUAUAAUAGCAGGAAUAUGGCCUGCAAGUCUCUACCGGCUUACCGUAAAUGAGCCGACUAUGAAAAGCAGUUUGAUGAUG